rnacentral:pre_miRNA from 1 species
GAGGGGAGUGCUGGAUCUUGGGCUGUGUCCCUGAGCCCCAUGGGCUCCGGGGCCUGCACCGCUGGAAUUGCGCUCCUGAAGCUGCGCAGCCCCCU